UACGUAGGUCCCGAGCGUUGUCCGGAUUUAUUGGGCGUAAAGCGAGCGCAGGUGGUUUAUUAAGUCUGGUGUAAAAGGCAGUGGCUCAACCAUUGUAUGCAUUGGAAACUGGUAGACUUGAGUGCAGGAGAGGAGAGUGGAAUUCCAUACGUAGCGGUGAAAUGCGUAGAUAUAUGGAGGAACACCGGUGGCGAAAGCGGCUCUCUGGCCUGUAACUGACACUGAGGCUCGAAAGCGUGGGGAGCAAACAGG
rnacentral:rRNA from 1 species